UAUAAAGAGGAAAGAUUUGUUUGUUUGUUUGUUUCGAAUAGGCUCCGAAGCUACUGGACCGAUUUGAACAAUUAUUUUUCCAUUAGAAGCCGACAUUGUCCCUGAUGAACAUAGGCUACUUUUUUUAAUUUAUUUUUUAUUUUAUUUUUUUGGUUUCAUGUGUGUUUUAAUGUUUCCGAAGCGAAGCGAGGGCGGGUCGCUAGUAACUAAUAAAGCGACCGAUGGCAUUAGCUAGGUCUGUGGACUAGCUAUAUUUUCUAUUCAUUAAAUAAGAUAAAUUAAUAAGAUAAAAUUGAAUAAGAAAUGAAAUAAACUCGCAAAAAUUUUGAAUCAGAACGAAUUUGUUUUUGGGGAUAAAUAUUAGCUUCGUAUGCAUAUAUCUACGUAAGACUUGUGUCUACGGAAACUUCACAUAGGGCAACACGCCAGUAGGUAUUUGAAAUGAGUAGGCUAUUUUUUAAUCUAGCGUAUAGAUGUCACUAUUGCUUUUUUAGCAUUUUCGACGAACUUAUUACUGCUAUUGUAAAGCAGAAGUUGAUGAAUUAAGUACAGAAGCCAAGACAAGGAACGCACUACGAUAAUUAAUAUAUCGAUUUGUAAUGAUAUUAAUACAGUUCGUUAUCAAAAUAGCAUUACGUUUAAAUUAGUUUGACAAAACUAAAAACCAGACUAUGCAUAAACUAACAGCAGUUAAAUAGUACACGGAUGGGUUCUAAGAAUUGUCGAGGGGUACAGCCAACGAUGAACUCUGCUAUAGUAGCAGGAAGUGUGAUGAUAAAAAGAUAUAAGGAUAAUCACGGACAAUCCUCAGAGCAUCUCAGGAUUACAGCUGAACAACUAUUUAGUGUUCAAGAGUGAUCCUUCAGAUGAUUUUUCUAAUGAGUGAUUGAAAUUCAUGAAUGAAUAAUGAAGUCUACCACAACCAGAGGCAAAAUAUAAGCAUUACACCACGUCUGCAGUCGGCGUGCGGCCGAUUUCUAAAGAUAUUUAUAGAACAACACUCAACCCAGAUACUAGCACAUCGAGCAGGAAGCUUAUUUACAUUUUUGCCUGUAACUAUGCCGAAACGCGACCAGACCUGGAUAAUGAGCGGUUUAUUUUGCUUGGUAGUUUUAACAGAAAAAAGUGACGUGCAAGUGCUAGGCGAAGGUGUCAAUUCGUCAGCUCAUAAAUGGGCAUAAACAUGCAUUUUCUCUCACGGUUUACCUCCGCCGAUGUCCAUGACACUUAUUAAGAAUACGUCCCCACGGACGCCUCAGAGCGGACCUUCCGCGCACGAACCCGAAACGCACAUUUAUUUUAACAUCGUCAUAACUUUGAACAAGUUUUGUAACACUUCCCGGUUCCAGCAGGUGUCCGUGUGAACUUUGAACGCACUGAAACUCACUAUUAACUUCGCGGAUGGAAACACACGUUAUGUUUCACUUACUGUAAACUAAAAACGUACCUCCAGCGUGAAUGAUGUUAUAAUAAUAACUGUCUCUUCGCUCUCGCUUGUCCGAGGAACUAGUUAUCAAGGUCUCGUCUCGUUUGCAGUGUUCAAUUCCAAGAAUCAACACAGGUUAUGUAGUUAUGUAGCAAAACAACUAACACUGAACACAAUUUUACACUUUAUUUUCCUUUUAAUCAUUCGAAGACACUUUAAAAUAAUAUUGUUACAGCUUUAAUAAAGUUUUGUACACAAA